AAAAAAGUAGAUGUUGUUGUCUAGAAUCACAGAGACACUCAGAAGGAAUUGGGACUGGAUGUGGAGGAAAGACAUCAUAAAACUUUACAUUAAAAGCCAAAGGUGUGAAGUUAGGUCUAGUCAAAAGUGUUAAUUCUGAAAGACCAACACACAUCAUUCUGGACUGUGAAGGUGUGCCUUCUGUAAGUUAAAUGGAAUGAGAUCUUCUUCAGUGCACCUGAUGUCUUGGGAAGGGUGUGAAUCAUGGCAAUACAGUGAAAGACGGUGAUGUACUGCUUUUGAGGGCAUGCAUGUAUAUGAUUAACGGAUGGAAGUGCAGGACUCCAAGAUUUACUUCUUUCCCUUUCCAGCAGAGUUACCUGAGAGGAGUAAAAUCUGCUGGUGGAGUCACUCCAUUAUUCUUAUCUGUGGAGAUCUAGAUCUUGAUUUGAAAGUUUCUGAGAAAAUCUUCAGCUCAGACUUGAGGUCAACUUUACCAACUGAAGGAACUGCAUUUACUGCUCAACCACAUCUAAUUUGAUGCCCUCUGCAGAUUUAAAAUGUAUGCCUUCUUUUCCAUCACCAAGUCAUCCCUGGGUUACUACUGAACAUCUUUCUCACCUCCCCGCGACCCAUGGAUGGCUGUUCUCCAUUGUCUCUUUCACCAGAUGUCCUCAAAACAAACAGACAGAAGAAGGAAGUGACUAAUGGAGCCGUGGAGUCCAAGUGUGACUGCCAAGAGGAAUCCAGCAAAGCCAAAGAGCCCGAGCAUGUAGCCCUGCCCGAAGCCUGCCACACGCAUGGAAAACCCAGAGGAAAUGAGUGAGGAUCAAUGGGAAGAAGGGAGCCAGCCAGGAAGUUGAAGAUUUGUCCAAGAGCAGACAGCUGAAGAGAGAGAGAGAAAGAAGAGAGAACAGCUUACAGCUCAGGUCCUCUCUCCAUGCUUAGGAACCACUACAAAUGCUAUGGUCUUGAGUCUCAUUUUGUUUUCCUCUGGAAACCACACGUGCACUUUGUUUGCGACAGUCUGG